GUCUAGGAAUCAGGUAACUAGUUUAUACUUAAUGGGUUGUUUGUAGCCAGUGAAAACUGUUAAAUGUAAAACAAUAUCAUUGGGAAAAAACUCAACUGGUUAAAUAUUCAAAAACACUUGAAAAAAAAAACAAUCAACAAAAUUUAUAAAAAGAAACCAAAAGAAAUUACAAAAAAACCCACACAUUGACUAUACAUAUUCAAACAAACAUACAAAUACAUUUAAGAGGAAAGCAAUACAAGAGAAUAAACCGUAAAAUUUUGGUGAGUAACAUAGUAAAGCCAUACUUUGAAACCCACUUAUAUUAGAAUAUAUGACACAAAGUACUGAUUUAAGAGCACUCUCAGAAGCCCAAGCCUAGUACAACGCUAAUUACAGCUCAAACCCCAAACGUGAGCACACAUUCAUAUACCUACAGCGGAUUUAAUUUGAAUAUGUAGUUCAAUAAGAUAGGUCGAU
rnacentral:lncRNA from 1 species